GAUGAACGCUGGCGGUAUGCUUAACACAUGCAAGUCGAACGGACUCUUCGGAGUUAGUGGCGGACGGGUGAGUAACGCGUGAGAAUCUGGCUUUGGGUUCGGGACAACCACUGGAAACGGUGGCUAAUACCGGAUGUGCCGAGAGGUAAAAGAGAAAUUGCCUGGAGAUGAGCUCGCGUCUGAUUAGCUAGUUGGUGAGGUAAAGGCUCACCAAGGCAGCGAUCAGUAGCUGGUCUGAGAGGAUGACCAGCCACACUGGGACUGAGACACGGCCCAGACUACGACGGGAGGCAGCAGUGGGGAAUUGUCCGCAAUGGGCGAAAGCCUGACGGAGCAAUACCGCGUGAGGGAAGAAGGCUCUUGGGUUGUAAACCUCUUUUCUUAGGGAAGAACAAAAUGACGGUACCUAAGGAAUCAGCAUCGGCUAACUCCGUG
rnacentral:rRNA from 1 species